rnacentral:rRNA from 1 species
GGCUUAUUGAAUUAUAAUUUUAAGUCUAUCUGCCCAAUGAUGUUUAAAUUUAAUGGCUGCAGUAUAACUAACUGUACAAAGGUAGCAUAAUCAAUUGUUUUUUAAUUAAAAACUGGAAUGAAAGAAUUAAUGAGAUAUAUACUGUCUCAUAUAUAUAUUAUAAAAUUAAAUUUUUAGUAAAAAUGCUAAAAUUUAUUUAUGGGACGAUAAGACCCUAUAGAAUUUUAUAUUAAUAUUAUAAUUAUAAUUAAUUUUUAAUAUUAAUAUUUAAUUGGGAGGAUUGGUAAAUUUGCAUAACUUUAUUUUAAAUUAAAACUUUAAUAUAAGAAUAUUUUUGACCUUUUAUUAUAAAUUAAAAGAAUAAAUUACCUUAGGGAUAACAGCGUAAUAUCUUUUUAAAGAUCAUAUUAAUAAAGAUGAUUGCGACCUCGAUGUUGAAUUAAGAUAAAUUUUAAAUGGAGAAAUUUAAUAAUUAAGUCUGUUCGACUUUUAAUAUCUUACAUGAUUUGAGUUCAAAUCGACGUAAGU